rnacentral:tRNA from 2 species
GAAAUAUAUAAUUUUAAAUUAAGCUUCUAACUUAAAUUUAUAGCAGUGAAAUCUGUUAAUAUUUCU